GUCUCUGUAACUCAAUUCGGUAGAGUAACGAGCUUUUAACUCGUAAGUUCUGGGUUCGAAUCCCAGCGGAGACA
rnacentral:tRNA from 1 species